UUGUAUAACACACAAAAAUAAUAAGGACUCUACAAAGGACAUCAUCGCUUAUAGGUUUAUUAAGAAUGUUAUUUUUUAAAAACUUAUCAAUGAAUAGCUAGAAAUUUUAAUUUAAAAAUGAAGUGAGCGCGGACUAAUACAAAUCUGUCUAGAGACGAUAAACAUUAAUUCAGCACUCCAACGUUUAGCAGUAAUUAAAUAGAGAAAAGCAGGAAAAAUAUCUACAGUUAACUAGAUAGCUGAUAUACUGACUGUCAUUUAUCUUAGUAACAGCACCGAGCCUACACAGAAAGCGCCUGUACGUCGUAGAACUGAAAGAGAACUAGUUUACUGCCACUGACAUAAAUAACGGACCAGGUACAGGUGUCAUUCAGUGUGGGACCUCUGGCAGAGGGAGCUACUGACUGUGAGCAGUGUGGUGGUUCUUUAGAAACAAGAGCGGUGCACAUGUUCAAGUACUGUCGGUACCUAAGACCUCCAGAAAUGUUGGUAAUAGCUGGUGUUUAGCUUCAUUCAUCUUUCUAGAU